GCUUCUUUCCUGACGUUGCAAAAUCCAAUUAAUUCCUCUGAAGCUCUCUCCAUAUCUACCCCUUAACCAUCUCCUCUCCAUAAUCUCUCUCAGUUUAACCUGGUUCCAAGUUCUAAGCUAUCCGCAGAGUCUUGAAAUCAGUUCAAAAGCUUCCUGAAUUUCCUUCGUUUUCUCUCUGUUUUUACCGCACUUCCACUUCUACUUCCUGAUUUACAUAGUUAAUACAAUCUUUUUUAUUCUGUUUCUGUUUUUUUGCAGAUUGUUGGAGACUAUGGAACCAGAAAUCAUUGAUUGGAAUAGCAUUGACUCUGUUUUUGUAGAAGAUGAGACUUAUGAGAACUUGGAUGCACCAAAGUGGGUCGAUUUCUCUGCCUUUGGCCCUGAUGAACAGCUCAAUGAUGAUGAUGAUGCUUGGUUCUACAAUCCAAAUUGCAAGCAUACAAAGACUGCAGAAGAUUUUAAAAAAUCUACCCUUAAUUCAAAGGUUUCUAAUUCUUUUUUGUUUUAAACGAUCCUCUUAUCUUUUCUGAUUUGCUUUAUCUUUGUUAUUUUCAGGUGAAAUUUUUAAGAUCUAUAACCAUAUCUAAAAUGCCUCCUUUCAGGGACAGAAAUUGCAGGUACAUCAAUAGGAAAAAUCAUUUCCCAAACUUUACUUUUAACCCAACCUUUGGGUUCACUUAUAGUUUCUCUUUCUCCAGAGAUGCAAAGACAAAAGAAUCAGAAAAGCCCAAUCUGCAGACCCUUAAAGCAAAAGAGAACAAAUCUGCACAGAACUUAGGUGAAGACAUGGAGAACAAGAAUCCAAACUUGUAUGCUUUCCCUCCUGUUGUGUCAAAGAAUGCAAUGACCAAAUCAGGUGCAGAGAAAAAAACAGCAAAUGGGUGAUUCACAUGGAAAUUCAUCAAAGCCAAAGCUGAGAAGCACAUUUUCAGCCCGGAAUUUGAGAGGUGGAAGAGAGAUUUUGAGUCAGAUCACAGAGUUCUGCUCUGAAUUAAAGAAAUUAGUGAAGAAAGGAUCAAAGAAAGGGUCAAAAGAGAAGGUUUCUAAUGACAUGAAAGAGAGAGUAGGAGAAAAAGAGAGGGUUCCUCUGCUUGAGGUCAAGAAAUAAAGGAGAUUAGAACAGAGAACAUAGAGUAAAGGAGAUUAGAACAGAGAACAUAGAGUAAAGGAGAUUAGAACAGAGAACAUAGAGUAAAAACAGUGGAAAGAGUGAAAUGUUCUGUUUUGAACAAUUGCCAGAAUAGUGCAAUAACACAUCAUCCUUUUAUUAUUUACAUAUAUAAAAAUAUAUCAUUUUUUUUUACUUGUAUUUAAAUUCUUUUUAGUUAAAUUUUAAUUAUAAUACAAUUUAAAAAAAAAAUUG
rnacentral:misc_RNA from 1 species